rnacentral:rRNA from 1 species
UGGUGGAGUGAUUUGUCUGGUUAGUUCCGUUAACGAACGAGACCUUAACCUGCUAAAUAGUUACGCAUAACUUCGGUUAGGCGGGCAACUUCUUAGAGGGACUUUGUGUGUCUAACGCAAGGAAGUUUGAGGCAAUAACA